CGGACGGGUUAGUAACGCGUGGGAACGUACCCAGAUCUAAGGAAUAGCCACUGGAAACGGUGAGUAAUACCUUAUACGCCCUUCGGGGGAAAGAUUUAUCGGAUUUGGAUCGGCCCGCGUUAGAUUAGAUAGUUGGUGGGGUAAUGGCCUACCAAGUCUACGAUCUAUAGCUGGUUUUAGAGGAUGAUCAGCAACACUGGGACUGAGACACGGCCCAGACUCCUACGGGAGGCAGCAGUGGGGAAUCUUGGACAAUGGGCGCAAGCCUGAUCCAGCCAUGCCGCGUGAGUGAUGAAGGCCUUAGGGUCGUAAAGCUCUUUCGCCAGAGAUGAUAAUGACAGUAUCUGGUAAAGAAACCCCGGCUAACUCCGUGCCAGCAGCCGCGGUAAUACGGAGGGGGUUAGCGUUGUUCGGAAUUACUGGGCGUAAAGCGUACGUAGGCGGAUUAGUCAGUCAGAGGU
rnacentral:rRNA from 1 species